rnacentral:tRNA from 1 species
GUCAUUAUAGUUUAUAAAAAUACUGCGUUGUGGCCACAGAGAUACAUUAAUAAAAAUGUUUUUGACC